AAAACGACUCUCGGCAACGGAUAUCUCGGCUCUCGCAUCGAUGAAGAACGUAGCGAAAUGCGAUACUUGGUGUGAAUUGCAGAAUCCCGUGAACCAUCGAGUCUUUGAACGCAAGUUGCGCCCGAAGCCUUCCGGUCGAGGGCACGUCUGCCUGGGCGUCACG
rnacentral:rRNA from 1 species